UGAGGAUAAACAUCCCUAAGCUCUACUUCCUUCUCAUAAGGAAGGAGCAUAAGUCCCAUUCACCCAACUGCAACUUCAUCUCUCUGAAGAAGAGUGUGAACGAACUGACUGUGGAAGAGAAGCAGAAGUUCCGCAUUAAAAAAACAUGCAAUGAGGCCAUCACUAACUUUGAGUAGGAGGCAAAAAGCAGAAGAGGAGAGAUCAUCAAGACUGCCAUGGAUGAGAGAGGAGGAGAGACUGGACCUGUUUGAGUACUUUACAAAUGUUUUUCGGCUCUGUUUGGAGUAAUCACUGGUAGCGCAGUAGCCUAUUGUAAAUAUUGUCUGUCAUCAUU